UUACGGCCAGAUCAGGUUGAAACACCCGUUUCCGUACGAUCACCGAAGUUAAGCAACGUCGAGCCUGAUCAGUUUCCAGAUGAAUGACCGCUUGGAAAUACCAGGCGUU